GGGCGGAGCCUGCACACAUACAAGGUCAUUGUUCAGUAAAUGUCGGCAGUUUUAUAGAAACAGCACAGGGUGCCAGGCCCAGCCAUUCCCACCCAGGCAGAGAAGCAGCUCCUGGAGUCCAUAAAUCUCCCGAGAGGCAGGUGUGUGCAUCACCCAACAGGAAAUGCUGCCUGGCGCAGGAGGAGCACAAAGCAUGUGAGAAAAUCAUGGUGACAUUUCCGCCUUAAAGUAAACGCUGACCAGGAGGGCGACGGUCCCCUGCCUCCUGCCUCCUCGGAGGGGAAUCCCAGGUUUGGAUGUUCCUGCAUCUCCAUCCUGCCUUGCUCUCCCUUGGUCCCACCUGCAAGGACAGAGGACCGUUUCCCUUCAGAAGCAGCUGUAGGAAGUGGUAAAUAGCAGCUCAGGUGCUCUGCCUGCGGAUGGUUAGAGAGCCAUUCCCAGUAAGCAGGCAGGCUCUGGGGGGAGCCUGGGCUCUCCUCCCAGGACAGAAGGGAAGCUGAGGGGACCAGGCUGACAUUUCCUGGCCCUGGCCCUCAGGGGUGAGACCUGGGAUUGGCACGGUGUCACCCUCAAGCCGGGCUGCAGUGCCGCGCUGUGCACUUAGAGCGAUGGACACGCUCACCCUGUCAGGGUGACGAGCAAAACCCCCUCAAAAAACACACGUGUCCACUCUCCACCACCUCAUGAACUAAAGAUGACAAAGGAAAAUAAACUUUACUAGUUGCCUUUUUCCUGGGUAAGAGAAAAGCUUCAGUCGGAAUUACUCUGCCAUAGAAGUUCGCUCCUGCCUGCCACCCCUGCCCGGGACAGCUCCAAAAUCCGCUGGAACCGUCCAGGCCCAGGCCCAACUGGUCCCUGGGCCACCUGGGGCUGGAAGCUGGCAGCCCUCAUCCCCAGGCCGCCAGACGGCAGGCGAGGCUGGGUCCCCAGGAGCCGCCUGACAGCUCGCAAGCUGCAAGGGGACAGGUCCAGUUUAAGUGUCCCUGCGCCCAGGCUGGGCGGGACAGCUCGCUGGAGGUGGGCACCACGCCAGCCGGGCUCGAGAAAUACACUGCCUGCCCGGGCGGCCAGCUCGGAGGAAAGGUGGGGCCACGCUGGUCAGUGUGGGAACCCAAACACAGAUUCUUGGUUCAGCAACUAGAAUGGGUCCAGCUCUGCUGUGGCUCCCCCGGCUCUGAACUCCUGCACCGCACAGCUUCUCCGUGUGUGGGUGAUGGACAAGGCGAAAGAGGAACAGGGCCCGCUCUCUGGGAAUAGCGACGCACAGGCUCCUGG
rnacentral:lncRNA from 1 species